GGGGGUCUAGCUCAGAUGGGAGAGCGCGCGCUUAGCAUGCGCGAGGUACUGGGAUCGAUACCCAGGUCCUCCA
rnacentral:tRNA from 1 species